rnacentral:tRNA from 1 species
GGGCCCGUGGCGCAACUUGGAUAGCGCGGCAGGCUUCGGACCUGAAGGUUGAGGGUUCAAAUCCCUCCGGGCCCG